rnacentral:lncRNA from 1 species
AGUUUGGUUCUGCCUCUGUGUGAACUUUUAUGCAACAUCAACAAAUAGCCAUCUUUUAGCAUUGUCUUUAUAUCACACGAAUAUUUGAAAAAUCAAGAUGAUUAUAAUAAUGUGCAAAGGAGUAUUUAAAGCAAAUGCAUUUAAAAUGUGUGUGUGUGUGUAUGUGUGUGCAGAUAAAGAGUAUACCAAAUAAAUAGGUUACUUCUCUGUGGGGCAAAAUUUAGCCACAAUUUCUCCCUUUCAUCUGAUGCAUUUUCUAGGAAUUAGAAAAUAAUGUAGCAAGUAAGGUAGGAGUUGAUAGGGAGUGAAGAAAACUGUUCCCGAAAUAAACAGAGCUGACAUUUUCAGCACACUGAUAAGAACAGACAGUUUGACUUCUUACGGUUUCCGUAUCUUUGCACUCUGAACACUGGGAGAGUGACGUCAGAGUCCCUGUUGGCAGAGGGAAAAGUUUUACUUGAAAACCCUGUAAAAAGAUGAUGUCUUCCACACAUGCAGACCUACUGGAUUCUGGGAAACUCCUGGAAGAUGGGCAUUUCUGAAUCUCAUGGCGGCAGCCACGACCUGAUCGAAUCUUCCGGGAGACCUGUCUGCCCUACCUGCCUCCAAAAGGCCCAGUGGCUCCCACUUCCCUGUAGAAGACACACCAUUGCAGCUGAGUGGGACCUGGCCACUAUGUGGACUGAACAAGAGAGGAAUGAAGAUGGUGGGGACGGAGGGAGGUGUGAUGGACGCGUGCCCGACACCACGCUCGUCUUACAGGAGACGCUGAAGGUGCGCCGUGCACCCCUGAAUGCUCUGCAGAUGAACGGAGAGUCUGCAGCUUGGACCACACACACUCCUGUUAAAGUCGUCGGCUUCAAGGACUCCCUUCUGAGAUGCACAGAAUCCAUAAGCUGCACUGUAGUUCUAGUGAUUCAUGUUGAACCUACACCUAUGCCUUUUUAAAAUUUAAAUGUACAAAAUGUGCUGAGCCCCUAGGCAUCUGUAUUGGAAUACAUUUCCAGUCUUCUGACAUGAAUGCCCUCAGUCUUACUGAUGGAAACAGACUGUGGGGUUGCUGUGUAAUUUCCAUUCAUAUUGUAUUAAAAUGUUCGAGAUGCAUUUUCUGUCAAAGAGAGUAUCAUUUCAUAAAAUUAUUCACUAUUCCCCCAUAUGGAAAUGUCAGACAUUGCUAAUGUAAUCCUCAAAGAAUUACCCAGAGUGUCUGUAGACCAAGAGACAGAUUUCCAGUGCUGUAGCACAGGAUGGCUUGUUCACUCUGUUCUUGGGGAAGCAGUGUGAGUUGUGAGUUUUCCCUCCAUGUCUACGCAGGGUCACCCUGUGAGCGACGUCUUUUACCUUUUUCUGCUUCUCUCAGUUACCCUAUGGCACAGAAACUGAAAACAUCAUAAAAAACCAGAAGAUGUGUUAUUUCCUUGGUUUUGUGACACUCUUCAUGAGUGACUUUCACCUUUGCUACAUGCAGAGAGCGUCUGCAAAUACACAUUCCAGUCUAGAUGAACCUAUCUGAGGGCAGCGGUGGAGACGCAGGCGUAGAGAACAGACUUGUGGGCUCAGUGUGCGGAGGAGACGGUGGGAUGAAUUGAGAGGGCAACACUGACGUGUACAUGACCAUGUGUAAAAUUAGGCAGCCAGCGGGAAUUUGCUGUAUGAUGCAGGGAGCUCAACCGCUGCUCUGGGACAGCCUGGAGGGAGGGGAUGGGCUGGGAGCUGGGAGUGGGGUU